rnacentral:rRNA from 1 species
UACGUAGGCAGCGAGCGUUGUUCGGAAUUAUUGGGCGUAAAGCGCACGUAGGCGGUUUGUUAAGUCGGAUGUGAAAUCCCUCGGCUCAACUGAGGAAGUGCAUCCGAAACUGGCAGGCUUGAGUACUAAAGAGGGUCGCGGAAUUCCCGGUGUAGAGGUGAAAUUCGUAGAUAUCGGGAGGAACACCGGUGGCGAAGGCGGCGACUCGUGACGAUGACGCUGAGGUG